GUGCAGCAGGCGCGAAACUUCACACUGUGCGAAAGCACGAUGAGGGAAUCCCAAGUGCUUGCACGUAAGUGUAAGCUGUUUCUCUGUCUAAAACGCAGAGAGAGUAAGGGCUGGGUAAGACGGGUGCCAGCCGCCGCGGUAAUACCUGCAGCUCAAGUGGUGACCGUUAUUAUUGGGCCUAAAACGUCCGUAGCCGGUUUAAUAAAUGCCUGGGUAAAUUGUGUAGCUUAACUAUACGAAUUCCGGGUAGACUGUUAAACUUGAGACCGGGAGAAGUUAGAGGUACUCCUGGGGUAGAGGUGAAAUUCUGUAAUCCUAGGGGGACCACCAGUGGCGAAGGCGUCUAACUAGAACGGGUCUGACGGUGAGGGACGAAGCCCUGGGGCGCAAACGGGAUUAGGAUACCCGGUAGU
rnacentral:rRNA from 1 species